GUGCCAGCCGCUUUCGGGGAUUCCAGCUCCAAUAGCGUAUAUUAAAGUGGUUGUUGUUAAAAAGCUCGUAGUUGAACCUUGGGCCUGGCUGGCCGGUCCGCCUCACCGCGUGCACUGGUCCGGCCGGGCCUUUCCCUCUGUGGAACCCCAUACCCUUCACUGGGCGUGGCGGGGAAACAGGACAUUUACUUUGAAAAAAUUAGAGUGCUCCAGGCAGGCCUAUGCUCGAAUACAUUAGCAUGGAAUAAUAAAAUAGGACGCGCGGUUCUAUUUUGUUGGUUUAUAGGACCGCCGUAAUGAUUAAUAGGGACAGUCGGGGGCAUCAGUAAUCAACUGUCAGAGGUGAAAUUCUUGGAUCAGUUGAAGACUAACUACUGCGAAAGCAUUUGCCAAGGAUGUUUUCAUUAAUCAGGAACGAAAGAUAGGGGGAUCUAAGACGAUCAGAUACCGUCGUAGACUUAACCAUAAACUAUGCGGACUAGGGAUCGACUGUGUUAUACAUUGACCCGUUCGGCACCUUACUAGAGAUCAAAAGUGCUUUAGCUCCUGGAGGGAGUAUAGUCGCGAUGUGGAAACUGUAAAGAAAUUGAAUGCAAGAGCGCCCCCACAGAGUGGAGCCAGCUGCCUGAUAUCUGCUCAUACCGGGGAAAUACUCAGGUCCAGGACACAAAGUACUUGUACACUCUGAGGCUCGCUCUGCAUGUUUACGGUGCGUGUCAGCAGCGCUGCUCAUAGCU
rnacentral:rRNA from 1 species